GCUGUGAUGAACAAACGGCAUUGAUCAUAUCUUGAACUGAUAAAGCCAUUUUGUCCUCUAAGAAGUUCUGAGCUU
rfam:Xenopus laevis strain J chromosome 8S, whole genome shotgun sequence.